GUCACCGCGUCGCCGCCCGCCAUGGGGAGCCGCCUGGGGGUCACCGCGUCACCGCCCGCCAUGGGGAGCCACCUGGGGGUCGCCGCCCGCCAUGGGGCCGCCAGGGCUGACCGCCCGCCAUGGGGAGCUGGCGCCCUCGCCAAGCGCAGAGGCGGCCAGUGGCCCGACGGCGUCGUCCAACACGGGCCAGCUGCGAGCGUAGAGAAGCAGGUAAGGCGGAGCAGCGGCCGGGGUUGAGCGCCGGUGAUCAUCGGUGGUGGACGGUGGGUGGCUCGCCGGGCAGAGGAGGCGCCAUCGCGAGGUCUGGAUAGACCUGCGCCAAUGGUUGCGUGAUGUGGCAAGGACCUGAUUGCUUUUUUAUAAACUUACAGGGAUCUGAUUGCUUUUUUAAAUUUAUGUGCAGGCCCACCCCUAACGGACAAACAAACGGUCAACAGUCAGAGCUCUUACAUGUGUGUCCGACCUGUCAUAAUCACGAUUAAUCGUAAAGCAUUUGACGAUUUGGGUUUUUUGAAACAACCGACCGCCCAUUUGGUAGUUAUUUGAGAAAAAUUUAAAACCGGUAGUUUUUUGGAACCCUAACCUGUAAAAUAGUAGUUUUAUGUUAUUUACUCAUCCAUCCGAGGCAUUAGGUAAGCAUCAAUCGAUGCUUUCGAGCUUAGCUUAACAUAACAUACUAUUUUGAUAUUUUCUGAUACGUGUUACCGAGCUAACCUGCAGGUAUAUACUGAGCAUUUUUGUGAUGUUGUUUGCUGUCAGGCUGUUGCUGAUGGUGGAGGAAUGCUGCCCAAAGGAUUGUCAUGCUUGAUUUCGACCGUACAAGGAAAUCAAUGGGAAUUAAUGUUGCAUCCAAAUCAGGAAGCAACACUUUACUUGGGAGCACUUGGCGUAGUGGUAAAGCUGCUGCCUUGUGACCAUGAGGUCACGGGUUCAACUCCUACAAAUAGCCUCUUGCAGAAAUGCAGGGAAUGAUUGCGUACUAAAGACCUAAAGUGGUCGGACUCUUUCCCGAACCCUGCGCAAACGGAAAGGGAGCCGUCGAAACCUUGCUGGAGAGGAGUAGCCAUAUUCAGCUGCAGGAUAGUUCAGUUGUGCCUUUAGAUGAGAAAUCAAGAAAAGUUAUUUUGGCAAGUCUCCAUGGAUUGUCAACAAAAGCGCCGUGCUGCCUCGGAUUUGUAUACAUGGAGGAUCUUACAGAAUUCACAACAUAUGAUGGAGAAUACCACCCUACUCACAAGCUUUUGCUGGAUCCAGCCAAUUAUGUGGCAAUUGAAGCCGACCUGAUAUUUGCUUGUCUGGCUGGCUUAAGGCUAUGCAAGAUCAUCCAAGGAAGAGGUCUUUGAUGAUGUGGAGGACCGCAUAGCUGCGGGCAUCCGUGUUAUGGUGAUAACAGGAGACAACAAAGAAACUACUGAGACGACAUGCCAUGAAAUUGGUGUAUUUUCACCUGAUGAAGACAUUAGCUUGAAGAGCUUUACAGGGAGGGGGUUCAUGGCACUUGAGGAUAAAAAGACACUUCUGCAAAAGAAAUGUGGCCUUCUGUUAUCUAGGGCAGAUCCUAGACACAAACAAAAGAUCAUUAGGCUAUUAAAAGAAGAGCGUGCAGUUAUUUCUAUGACUGGAGAUGGAGUAAAUGAUGGCCCUGCUCUAAAACUAGCUGGCAUUGGUAUAGCAAUGGGUAUUCCCGGCACUGUGUACAUUCUUACUCA